rnacentral:rRNA from 2 species
GGAUGCGAUCAUACCAGCACUAAAGCACCGGAUCCCAUCAGAACUCCGAAGUUAAGCGUGCUUGGACGAGAGUAGUACUACGAUGGGUGACCUCCUGGGAAGUCCUCGUGUUGCAUUCC